CUCUUCAUCCUCAAUUUUGUCAAGCAUCUCCAUUUUCUCACUGAUUAGUGUUAAGUGUAUUCAUAAAAGACAUAAAUCUAUCAUUCCUUAGUGUAAAUAUAUCAUGCUGACAAAAAAAAUCACUUCUCUCGAUUCCUUUUUUUUUUUUGUUGUAGAUCACUCAAUGUAAUACUAGCAUUUAAAAAAAAAAAGGAUAUGGUUUGGGAUUCAAUCGAACGACUAGAAUCAAGACUCGCCGACACGUUCUAUUAAAUGGACCCAACCCAAUGAUGACGAAAGGUCCAAUCAAGUAAUAAAUCAAAGGACCAUUUGACUCAGCUGAUUUAAUUUCUCUCUGAAGAUAAUAAAGAAGUGUAUUACAUGAGGGAUUCUUGUGAUUCACAUUUCACAUCAGAAGCCCACUCCCACUAAUUGUCGACACUCAACGCUCCCUGUGUAAAUAUCAAUCAACUUGUGUUGUUGCGGAUUUCACAAUGGAUAUUCUUCCAUUUGUUUAUCAUAAAUAUUGUGGUUAAUUGAAUCAUAAUGAUAAUAAUAUUCACAACAAAUAUAUUUUCUCCUUUUCUUUUGGAAUAAUAAGAUGCAGUUUUUGACCACUAUGGUGUGUUUGGUAGGAAGGAAAAUAUUUAUGAUCUCAUUUUUCUCCAAUUAAAAGAAAAUAUUUUUCAAAAUUCUUUCUCAAUCUUUUUCAUCCUAUUUCUCAUCCUCAUCAACCCACCCCCACACCCACCCACCCAACCGCCCUACUCACCCCACCCUAAAUAAAAAUAUUUUUAAUACUAUUUUCUUUUCAUUUUAUAGAUAGAUUUUUUUUUUGUAUUUCAAUAAAUGAGUAUUUUUUACAUGAUAUAAAAAAGUAUUUUUUUCAUUUCAACAAAAAAAAUACUUUCUUUUCAUAGAAAAAAUAUUUUCUUUCGUUUCAACAAUAAAAAAAUAUUUUCUUUUUAUGAUUUAAAUCUUUUUNNNNNNNNNNUACCAAACACACCCUAUAUCUUCCGUAUUACAUACACUAAAAUAGUACACGUAACAUUCCAUUCGUCUUGGUAACUUAUCUUUUACCUAGUAUUUGGUUUGCUUUUUUGUAUAUAGUCUUACUUUGUCUUGUUCAUGUCGGACUAUUUCAUCAAUUUCAUUUUAAGUGUUAAUAUUGAGAAAAAAUCCAAUAUAAUAUAUUAUUAUAUUAUAUUAUAUUUGAACUGCUUUCCUACUCAAAUAAUUUAUUUUAUUGUUAAUUUUAAUAUAGAAAAAUAUACCUAAUUAUUAAAGAACAACUAAGAAAAAUUUUAAGAAUAUAAAUGUGUGAGAAAAAAUAGGAAAAAAUGUUAGUAAAAGCCAAUAUCACUAAUGAUUUUGCAAACAUAAAGAUCUAAAGGUGGAAUGUCAUCGAUGUUUUUACUCUUUGAAAAUAAAACCACUUGGUGGAUAAAAUUAUAAUCACGGUUAAAUAUUCAAACAUGAGAUGAACUAAUAUUAAGAAUCUAAAUCAACAGAAAAUGAAUUAUAUUUCAUGUUAAAACCAAAUAAUUAAAUCUUUCAAUUAUUUAUUUAGCAAGAGAAUACAAUUAAAUUAUUUUUUAAAUUCAUCAUAUGAGAGAAAUUAUUUUUCAAGUUGAAAAAAAUAUAAUAUUAAGAAGAUCAUACAAGUAUUUGAGGAAGCACAAUCUAAGCUAAAUCCUGAACAAGAAUAAGUUUUCAAGAUUAUAUUAUAAAAACUGACUCGGGUAUAGCGGGAUUAUCUUUUGUAGAUGCCUCCGACGGAAUCAAAAUAAUAUUUCUAUGUCAUGUAUUAUUUGCAAAUAUCAAAUCAAGAGGCAUGAUAUUAUUAGCAGUAAGAACAAGUGGUUUACCAACAACAAUUUUAUUAUGAGGUCGUACAACUCACUUUAGAUUUGAUAUACCUCUUGAAAUAACUGAAAUAACCAUCACAAAUAUGUCAAAUCAGAUCAAUAGUGCUAAAUUUAUAAGGAAAACAAAAGUUAUGGGAUGAAGCGAAUUUGGCUAAGCGUCAAACGAUCAAAAUAAUUACCCAUUGUUUUAGAGAUAUAUUGGAUAUCGAGAACCAUUUGGUAAAAACGUAAUAGUUUGGGAGGUGAUUUCUGUCAGAUACGAUCAGUAGUUCCAAAAUUGACCAAAGCAGAAACUGUAAAGCUAGCUUUCCAAAAUUAUACUUAUGACCUCAAAUAAAAAAUAUUCAAAUGACAAGAAAUAUAAAAUUAAUAACAAAUCCAACAUUCAAUGACUUCUUGCUUCCUGUCGGAAACGAAGAAGAGCAUCAAAUAAAAGAUGAUUUGGUUCUUCUAGAACACUUGGUUAUUGUAAUGAUCCGGCUGGUCGUUUUGAGUAUCUGCACUUCGCUCGGUAUUUUGAGGUCUCGAGUAUCUUCGCAUGAUGUAUUAUGACUUGUGUAAGUCGUCGGUAUUGGUUUUCAAGUUAUCCGAAAUCGAUUUGGAAGAAUGAACUUAAAGAUUUAAGCUCUAAGUUGGAAGAGUUGACCAAGUUUGAUUUUUUAGCAUUUAACCUCGGAAUACAAUUCCGUCAAUUCCGAUAGCUCCGUUGGGUAAUUUUGGACUUAGGAGCGCGUCCGAACUGUAAAUUGGAGGUCCGUAAUUGAAUAAGUCUUGAAAUGGCGAAAGUUGGAUUUUUGGAAAGUUUGACGGGGAGUGGACUUUUUGAUAUCGUGGUCGGAUUUCGAUUUCGUCAGUUCGAAUAGGUCUGUAAUGACAAAUGUGACUUGUAUGAAAAAAUUGGGAUCAAUUGCACGUGAUUUAAUAGGUUUCAGCAUCGGUUGUAGAAGUUGAAGUUUCAAAGUUCAUUGACUUGGACUUGAGAUACGAUUUGUCGUUUUGAGGUUGUUAUGCGUGAUUUGAAGCUUCGAGUAGGUUCGUUUUGUCAUAUAGAACUUGUCCGCAAAAUUUAGAUCCAUUUGGAAUUGAUUUGAUAUGGUUCGGACACUUGGUUGUGAUUCUAGAAGUUCUUAAAGUUUAGUUUGAUCCUCAUGCAUUUAGGCGUCCGAUUCGUGGUUUUAGAGGUUAUUUUGAUGAUUUGAUCGCACGAGCGAGUUCGUGUUGUGUUUCUGGACUUUGGUUCAUGGUUAGUUUGGAUCCUCAAGGGCUCGGGUGAGUUUCGGAAUGAUUUUUCAUAAACUUUGAUUUUUGGUAAUGGUAUCAUCACAGUUGCGAUGUUUUUGUCGCAAAUGCGACAACCGCAAUUGCAAAGCAGCCAUCGCAUUUACAAGGUCUGGGCUGCUGGGAAAAUUUGCAUUUGCCAAGAACCCUGCCGCAUUUGCGAAAUGUUGGUCUUCGUAUUUGCGAAGUAUUGGGUCGCAAAUGCGACCUUGACAGGAAAACUUCUUGAGAGUCGAAUAGGACUCGGAUUUGAAAACAAAAUAUAUAUUUGAACUCGUGAGGCUAUGGGUAGUCAAGACCUACCAUUGGACCCGGAUUUUUACCUGGCGGGCCAGGGGUUUGACUUUUUAGAAAUCUAAUAAAAAUCACAGUUUUAUUAAUUAAAAUUACUUUCUCUUUCAUUGUGUGAUGUAUUCAAGUCAUCGUUGGAUAGAUUGAGCCGAGCGGAGGCGAAUUUGUAAAGGAAAAGGCUAAAUUUAGUAUUGAGUUAGCCGAAUUGAGGUAAGUGUCUUGCCUAACUUUGUUGAGGGAAUUUUUCCUCCUAUUUGACAAUGUUUUCUACAUGCGGGGGUGAUACAUAUAUGAGGUGACGAGCGUAUAUAUAUGUGCCAGGGUUAAUCAUGCUUGGGGGUAGAUUAUGUAUAAUUAUGUCUUGUACAAUUACGUGACCUUCUUGCUCCAUGCCUUACUUGACUCUUAGAUACUAAGAACAUAGUAUUAAAUGUUGAAAAUCAAGAUUUAAAUUAUUAUAACUUGAUCAAAUUUGAUGGAAUUCUAAGAAUACAUUUAUGUGUCUAAUUCGGUUAUUCCUAUGCGUAGUCAUUAAUACAUUGCUACAGCCGAUCUUCUAGAGAUACUAGAUUCUAUACUUGUGUUGUUGAUCAUUUGGAGAUUUGUGGAAGUACUUGAAUAAUACGGUUCUUGAGGGUUUAUUGAAUCAUCGUUGGCUUGGAAAGUUGUGAUUGGGAUUUGUUUGGAAUAUUCGUUUAAACACUCUCCUUGAUGUUAUUUAUUCCCCAUGUGUUGUUUGUCAUUGAUAUACACAUGUUUGGUAAGGAAGAGUGUAAAGUACGAAGGGUGAUGCCGUGCCAUAGUUAUACAUUAUCAUGUGAGGGAGAGUGUAAAGCACGAAGGGUGAUGUCGUGCCAUAUUAUUUGAGAGUAAAAGCACGAAGGGUGAUGCCGUGCCAUAUUAUUUGAGAGUAAAAGCACGAAGGGUGAUGCCGUGCCAUAUUAUUGGGAGUAAAAGCACGAAGGGUGAUGCCGUGCCACAUCAUUUGAGAGUAAAAGUAGGAAGGGUGAUGUUGUGCCAUUUCAUUUAUAUUGUUAUGCUUUUAUGUUAUCGUGAGAUCAUGGCACGAUGGGUGUUUUCGUGCAGGUGAGGAUGAGGGACAUGCAUCAUGUUGUGAUAUCUGUUUUUCCGUGUAUAUGUUCACGUCUUUAUCUUGAACGGUUAUUGUCGUAUUUAUAGACCUCGUGUGACUUGUUAUUAUUGUCCUGUCCUUGCUCUCUAUUUCAAUCGUUGUUGUGUUGUACAUAUCUUGUACUUGUUUUAUUUGCAAAACACAUGCCUAUUUCCUGUUGUUAUAAUUACCUCCAUGUCGUGUCUAUUCUGUUGCAUUUUAGUACAAGCCCUUUUUCUAUGUUAGUUAUUCAUGCCUCUGCUUGUUAACUUGUAAAGAUCAUGUGAUUCCUUCUUAUUUGUUAUAUCUGUACUUAGGCCUCCAUCAUGCUAGUUAAUUGAAGUUGAUAUUCCUUAUUUUUCAAUUGUUGUCAUUACUCACAUGCUUUCCGCCUAGUCUUUUAUUGUUGCCCACAUGUAUAUCCUCGUUCAUUAUUGCUACUUGCGUAUUUCCUACUUUGUAAUUCCUAUUUUCGAUAUUUAUGUCAUCUAGUUGGUUCUAUUAUAAGUAUAUGAGGAUGAGAUAAAAGCACGAAGGGUGUUGCCAUGUAAUUAACUUGAUAUCUGAGUACAUUCCUCAUGCUAUGAAAGUUAUGAAGUGACUGUAGUGGUUUAUCAGUUUCAUUCUAAGGAAAGCGAUGGUCAAGGUAUUGUAAGAUGCUAAAUUGUGAUCACUGCUAGUAUUCGAUUAUUAUUUGCGUAUUCGUUUCAUGUAAUCUUUUCUGUUAUAGCGUGGUAUAACUCUAUUGUUGAUUUAUACUACAGGUUUUUAUCAGUGAGUAUCUUUUAACUAAAAAGCCUCGUCACUACUUCCACGAGGUUAGACGAGAUACUUACCAGUAUAUGGGGUCGGUUGUACUGAUACAACACUUCUGCACAUUGCGUGCAGAUUUUGGAGUGGAGCUGCAAGUGAUAUCGGGUGCUGACUUUGAAGAUGUUCAUGCAUUCUGGAUAUAGUUUCCACUUGUCCUUGGUAGCUUAGGUUGUGCUAAUCUCUUAAGUAAAUUUCAAACACAUCGUGUAAUUAUUUGUACUAGCUUUAUAAAUUCCAAGUCUUAGAAGGUCAUGGUUCGUACUACUAGUUCUUGGGUAAAUUUGUAAAUGUUCAGAUAAUUCUUCUCUAUUCUUACUAUAAUCUCAUUCAGAUUGUAUUUUCUGUUAGUGGCUUACCUAGCGGAUCGAGUUAGGUGCCAUAACGACUUGUGAUUUUUGGGUCGUGACAGUUAUCAACCCCAAUGGUAAUAGUAGUGCAUUUAAUAAAGAAAAUAUUUUCAUCAUUAGAUUAAAAUGCAAUUUGUGUAAAUUAUAUGAUAGAAAUUAAAGAGCUAUCUUAGCUAGCAAAAAUGAAUAUACUGAUCAACUAAAUAAAAGGUUGAUUGCUAUGUUUUAUGGUAAUGUUACACCCAAUGUUUCGUACGUAAAAGUAUGCCAUAAGUAAAUUAAUGGGAGCUCGGAAAUGAGAUGUUACAUCUCGCAUUUUCGUGUGUUAAAGUUUUUUCGUAAGUUAAUCGAUGUAAGUUUGGGAAUGAUAUUAUUUUGAGAUUAUAAAUAUUAUGCUAUUUCAAACAAGCGACAAGUAAAUUCGUGAAUGUGAAAGGGUAAGCUGUAGCGAUCCGGCAGGUCAUUUUGAGAAUUAAUGCCCCGAUCAUCUAUUCACUGCUUUCCCCGUAUCUAUUUCUAUUAUUGUGAAUUGCCGGGAUGGUUCAUCUUGAGUUUCGGAGUGUUUUGGGACACUUAGACCCUAAAUAAGAGCGUAAGUCUUAGAAUUUGGACCGUAGUCGGGGAAGUAUGAAGAUGUCUCCGGAAUAGAAUUACGUUGAUUCCGCUAGCUCCGUUGGGUGAUUUCGGUCUUAGAGGCAUGUUUGGAUUGCGUUUUGGAGGUCUGUAGCUCAUUUAGGCUUGAAAUGGCGAAAGUUGAUUUUUUGGAGUUUCGGCCCAACAGUGGAAAUUUUGACAUCAGGGUCAAAAUCCGAUUCUAAAAGUUGGAAUAGGUCCAUAGUAUUGAAUAUGACUUGUGUGCAAAAUUUGGGUUCAAUCGUACGUGUUUUGCUUGGUUUCGGUAUCAGAUGUAGAAUUUUGGAAAUUCAAGUUUUUAAGUUUGGAUUAGAGGGUGAUUCGUAGUUUUAGAGUUGUUUGAUGUGAUUUGAGUGAUCAACUAAGUUCAAAUGAUGUUUUAGGAUUGAUUGGUAUGUUUGGUUGAGGUUCCAGGGGCCUCGGGUGAGUUUCGGAUGCUCAACGGGUCAUUUUUGGACUUAAAGAAGUGGCAGAUUUUCUGGUGUUUUGUUGCAGUGAAAUCCUUCAUCGCGUUCGCGAGAGGAGUCUCGUGUUCGCGUAGAGCAUCUGGGAGAAGCAGCUAAGUGGUACUUUGCAUUCGCGAAGGUGUGGACCCUUUAGCCUACGCGUUCGCGACAUGGUCCUCGCGUUCGCGAAGGGUCUGCCAGUGUAAGCUAUGCGUUUGCGAAAGGACCCUCGCGUUCGCGAAAGAGGAAUUUGGGCCAGUGGGAUUUUUCUCAACGCGUUCGCGAAGAAGGACGCAUCUGGGCAGAAUUUAAAAAUCCAAAAUCGAGGGUUUGAGUUCAUAAUUUUAAAAAUUAAUAGAGAGCUCGGUAGAAGGCAAAAUUUGGAGAGAUUUUCGGAGGAAGUUUGUGGGUAAUGAUUCCUAACUACUUUUUUAUUAUAUCCCAUUAAUCUAAGCUCAAUUUCAUCAUUUAAUUUCGAAUUUGGGGUGAAAAUUUAGGGAAAAUUUUAGAAAAUCUUUAGGCCGAAUUUUGGGAUUUUGAUCGAUAUUUUGGUAUCGGAUUUGGGUGAAUUUGGUAUGGUUAGACUCGUGAGUGAAUGAGUGUUCAUAAUUUGUGAUUUUUACCUGAUUCCUAGAUUUUGGUCCGGGGAGGAUUUUUUGGCAUUUUCCUAUUUUCUUACCUUAGCUUUGAAUUAAUUAGUUAAACUAGUUGCUUGUAGUUUUAUUUACGUUAUGUAAUUAAUUUGAUUAGAUUUGGGCUACUUUGAGUUGGAUACUCGUGGCAAGAGCGUGAUAUCAGAUUGAUUUUGAGCUGGUUCGAGGUAAGUGGCUUGCUUAACCUUGUGUGGGGGGAAUUUCCCUUAGGAUUUUGGUACUGUUAUUAUAUGAAUGCCGUGUACGUGAGGUGAUGAGUGCGUACAUGUGCUAAUUGUUAAAAAACUCCGUUUUCUUUAAGUAAAUAUCUAUGUUUUUCCUUUAAUUGAACAAUACUAGUGUGUGAAGCCUCAUGUUUAGCUCAGGAAAGCAUGCUUAUGUGACUUAAUUGUCUUAUUUGCGUUAACUGCUUAUUUGGAUUCUGUGUAGCAUGUCUAGAGUAGGAAUUUCCUAUUUCUUGAUACGAACUUGAAUAGAACUGUCAAUUUCUUGUUAAGACUAUUGUGUAUUUACUUUGGGACUACGGAUCGGUAUUUCGAGAGAUCUCCCUGCACAUUUAUAUUUGGGACUAAGGGACGGUAUCCUGGGAGAUACCCCUGUACUAGAUAUUUACUUUGGGACUACAGAUCGGUAUCCUGGGAGAUUCUCUAUACAUUUACGUUUGGGACUACCAGACGUUAUCCUGGGAGUUCCCCCUGUUGUUAUCUUUGUGUAUUGAGUUAUUUCUUUAUGUGAUAUCAUCUUUAUUGACUGUUAGUAUUUUAAUUAUACUGUCACAUUUCAUACUGUUUUACCUUGUUAUAUAUAUAACCAGUAGGGCCCUGACCUGAUCUCGUCACUACUCGACCGAGGUUAGGCUUGACACAACUGGGUACCGCUGUGGUGUACUCAUGCCCUUUCUUGCACAUGUUUUUCGUGUGUAGAUCCAUGUUCUUCUGCUCAACCAUACUAUCCGUGAGGCGAGGUGAUUCGGAGACUUCGAGGUAUAUCUACCGCGUUCGCAGGCCUGGAAGUCCCUCUCUAUUCUCCCUUCAGUUAUAGACUUCUUGUAUUUUUCUUCGUUUAGACUUCUGGAGUUAGAACACUAUGUAUUUCUUUAGCUUGUGAUUCAUGCGAUUCCGGGUUUUGGGAGUGCUAUGUUCAGUCGAGAGUGUUAUUAUUGUAUAUGCCGAGCGACAUUUUAAACUCUUUUAUUAUAGUUACUUGUUAGUUGGCUAGUUUUGUUUCUUUAAUUCAUUUUCCGCAAAUUGUUAGGCUUGACUAGUAGACUAGGUGCCAUCACGAUAGUUCACGGAGGGAGAACUUGGGUCAUGGCAUAAGCGAAUCGAAGAAAGUGAAUUUCGGCGAAGUUUGACUUUUUGAGAUAAAUACGAUCCAAGCUACAAUACCCCGUAUUUAUGGAUUAGUGUCAUACAAGGUACCACAUGACCAUGAUAGUAAGAUGUAUAAGGUAUGUUAAAAGUGAGUAGUAUUUUAAGUAAUUUGAGAUAAUUCUUAAUUAUGCAGGUAAUUAAUUAACUAUUGGGUAAUGAGAGAUUACCUAGUUAAUUAAGGAUUUAUUGGGUGAUUAAUUAAGCACAUUUGGAUAAGUAUUAAACUCCAAGAUGGCAGCAAAUUAAGCCCAAUUUUAUGACUCAUUAGUCAUUAGGAUAGGUGGCACAUUAAGGGGUCUUUGGGCAAGACUAAUCCCUAAAAAAUGAGGCCCACCUAAAAAUUUAGUAUAACUUUUCUAGUUCAAAAAUCAUUCUCCUAACCUCUUAAAAGACUUUCAGCAAAGGAGUGUAGUAACGUUAUUGACAAAAACAUUCUGCCAAGGAAUAUAGCAACAUUAUUGACAAAGAGUUUCAGCCAAGGAACGUAGCAACGUUAUUGAGAAAGAGUUUUAGCCAAGAUUAUCUUUGCAUAGCAACGCUAUUGCUUCGAGCAUUUUAUACGUAUUUCUCCUACUCCAAUUUUACCGUCACGUAUUUUGUUGCAAUUAACGUGUGUUAGUGGAAUUGUCAAGAAAAUCGACUCAGGCAUGUUAAGGAUAUCACUUCUUUCUUUUGGUGUGAUGUAUAUGACACAAACGAAACAAGAAAAAUCCACAACUUCCAUAAAUGACUCUAUUCAUAGAAUUAUUAGAGGUGCCUAUGUUCUUGAAUUUCCAUGUGUCCUAUUAUUUUAUAAUCUAUUCAUGAGCCUCAGAAAAAUACGUAAAUUGAUUUUAUGAUAUUAAUCAGAGGCAUAAUGGUCUUAUGACACUCCGAAAGAUUUUAUUGACGUACUUCUCAUGAAUUGCAUUCAUUUACAUUGACCCAUGACCAGAUGGAGUUAUAUACGCGUAUAUAUGUAUAUUAUAUGCAUAUGGGAUAUGGAAAAAGGUUACUGCAUUAUAUACGCACAACCACCUGAUCAGCUGGUAUACGUUGAUGAUUUUACCCACAGUGGCCGAGAUGAUGUGAUGAGAUGCCCUCAUAGGCUUGAUGAUGUUAUGAAUACAUGUACUAUGCAUGACAUGACAUUGAUACGCAUAUGCAUGACACUAUAAGUAUUUCAUGAUUUACAGAGUUAUCCAGACUUACGGGUUAAGUCAUUUACUCCAUGUUUCUUUCAUGUCUUUUAUGUACUUAUUUGUGUGCCUUACAUACUCGGUAUAUUAUUCGUACUGACAUCCUUUUUUCCUUGGGACGCUACGUUUCAUGCCCGUAGGUCCCAAUAGAUAGGUCGAAAGUCCUCCAAGCAGGCUAUCAGCUCAGCGGAAGAUGUUGGUGUGCUCCAUUUGCUCCGGAGUUGCUUGUUUGGUCAGUAUGAUUUAGACAUGUAUUGUUUGGUAUGACGGGGCCCUGUCCUUUACGAUAAUAUAUACUCUUAGAGGCUUGUAGAAAGAUGCCAUAUAUACGGAUGCUUGUAUGGCCUUGCCGACCUAUGUUUUGAGUUUACAAAUAAUCAUGUUGGCCUUAUAGGCCCGUAUGUUACAUGUAUAAGUUUUUAUAUCAGGUUGGGUCGUCCUAUAUUGAAUAUUUUCCUAUAUUUAUUCUGGUUAGCCCAUGACGGCCCGUUUGGCCCAUUUGCCAAUGAAAGUAUGAUAAGAAAUAUAUGUUAUGUUGGUACUCGGUUGAGUAAGGUACCGGGUGACCGUUGCGGCCCAUAAGUAUGGGUCGUGACCGGUAAAAAUAAAAUAUUUUUCAGUUUUGACUCAGUAGAAGAUGAUACCAACAAUAACUACCAAGAAGAAUACUUAAAUACUUUAAUACCAAAUGGCCUUCUUCCGUACAUGCUUUUGUCAAGUUCAUUAUUUCUUACGUAUGUUAGUGUCACCAUAUAUAUAAUAGACUAAGUUAAAAUUGAUCUUCUAUUGCAUAUAUGUUUAUGCACGUCAUGCUACUGAAAAUUUAGAUCCGCUAAAUAGCUUAUGUAAUAGUACACAUAUGGUAUAUAGAUUAUUUAACGACAACGUCAUACAUGCAGAACUUAUGAUACUGGUCAAUGUGCUUCUAAGUAUGUGUUUAUCCCCAAAUUCAACUUUUGUCUUCCGAAACUAAAGAAUAUCCUUUUAAAUUUGUGUGAAAAUAAUUUUCAUUAUGUUUAUGUUUUAUAGUUUUAAUAAAUAAAACACAAUGACAAACAUCCUAAAUGUUGAACUAUAUUUACCAUAAUAUGUUUUCUUACACGAAUAACUAUAUGUUGCACUUUCAACAGAGAUAUCAAUAUUAACAAUAAGAGUUUUGGUUGUGGAAUAGUAACCAAAGCAUUAGAAGGCAAUAUACACAAAAAUAUAGCGCAUAUAAAGAAGUGUUUGGCAAGAUACCAUCACGUUAGAUACCUUUAAACUACAAUACAUAAUUAUCUAAUUAACAUGGCUAAACUUUUCCAUUUUCAGAUAUUACUAAUAUCAUAUUAGAAUGGCAGUUGGAAGGAGAAAGACAAUAAACCAACAAAUAAAAGGCAAGCAAAGAAACUGUUCGACUGAAUAUACCUAACAAGUUUGCCGACACUCCUCAAUAUUCAACAGAUGCCAAAAUAUGGGUCCUAAUCAUAAUGCCGACCUUUUUUAUUGCUAUCCAUACUUUAAUAUAGUAUAGUUAUGAAAAAGGUUACUAUCAAGCAAUUCAUGUGGGAGAUGAGCUGGAAUUUCGGUUCAAAGAUACUCAAGAUCUCCAUUUGUGAUUUCAAACUUUUACAUUUUUUUUUUGGGGAGAUAAUAAUAGUUUUCAGUGUAUUGUAUCGAAGCCAUAUGAAGUUAAUUAGCUAGCGAUGUCUUUAAUUCCAACAGAAUGGAUAAUGAAAUAAAUUGCUAUUGAUAUUUUGAUUUUUUGGUUCCUUUUAUUUUCUGCUAUUAAUGAGAUAAUAUAUUUUUAUUUUAUGCUUCUUAUGGGAUCAUAAAUCUACAUAUAACGUGACAUUGGUGGAAGAUUACAAAUUCUUAAAAAGAAAAAUGUUAUGUUGCUCAAUUUUCUUUCUUGAUAGCAGACAAAAUUCAAGAACAAAGACAGAACAAUAUUAUAAAAUGAGAGCAAAAUAUAGCUUUUUUGUGUACAGAAUAUUUCUAUCCCUAUAACGGAUGAUAAUCUUUUUAUUUAUAGCUCUAUUCAGUGAGACAAGAUCCCCAAAUUAAGUUUUUCUUGAAUGAGAAUAAAACUGUCAUUAAUGGAUGCAUAAUGAUUGGUUAUAAAUGCAGAUAUUCUUUGCAACUGCUGCUCAUUGAAUAAUAUUCGAUGACAAUGCUUUGAAUCUUCGUUACUGGCUACUCUAUCUUCGGAAUUCGUUCAACAUCGAUUGCAUGCUUACAUCCGGUGAUGAUUGUUUGCUGACUCAUGUGCCACCUGUAUUUAGUUCUACGUGUCACUUUGUCAUUCAUCCAACUGUCAUUAACCUAUUUUACCCCAUACAGAUACUCCCCUUACUUUUCGGUAACACAACUUAGUGUUACCGGAAAGUAGAUAAGAAUUCUUUUCUUGGCGAAAAAAUUCCUGAACGGUCUCUGACACUUGAAAGGGCACAUGUCUUCUCGCAUUUAAUGACCCAAACAUGUGUUGCUCCAUGAUUCAGCAAAUAUUUUCACUGGUUUUCGAGGUACUCAUGACUAAGAUUUUUGUUAUCUAUAACUUCUCCCCUACUCAUCAUUUUUACUCUUUACUUUCACAACUCCCUCUUCUUCCUUGAUUCUCCUUAGAACCAUUCUGUGACAUUCAACUUUCUUAGUAAAACUUUUCUUCAAACAUAUCUUCAAGCAUUACCAUCCUCGGAAACUCUGGCCUUUUCUUCAAAAGACCCCCAAAGAAAACAAAAACAAAGGAAGUUGAAGCUGAAUCUGAACCUCCCACCCUGAACUCCAUCAUACCUCUUAAACUUAAUACGAAAUCAGACCUUCAAUAACAGAAAGCACCUUCAAAUUCUAAAAGUGAUAGGUUCUGGCCUAUUCGGAGGAACCCUUCUUCCAUUCGUCCUCCUAGUGUCCUUGUCAUGAAGGAGGAAUGCCAUUGGAACAAGGUUGAAAUCCUCACCCCCAAAAAAGGUAGAAAGAGUUACCUUCUCCAAGCCAGGUUUCAUAUAUUUUUACACAUACCCUUUCACUUUGGGCCAUUUAACUUUGAGAAUGGGUGAAGGAACUGACCCAAUAAUCUUAGAGUUAUCCCAUCGAUACCAAGUAUGUUUGGCAUAAGUAGGCCUAUCUGUGUGGCGUACGGUGGUUUGCCACCACCAAUGGUGUUAUGAGACCGAGGAAACCCUAACUCUCGUACAUAUAAUGAACCUCUACUCCAAAAAGAUUUUUCGUGAGGGUAUGCUAAAUCUUAGAAAAUGCGGUGAUCAUGCUCUUCUUACUAGCAUUGACAACGACACUAACCGUGGAUGGAUGGAACAGUUUGUUAUUAUCGCUACCAGGGAUAUCAUCCUAACCACAAUACCAGCUUUUCCCAAAUCAUGAAAUCUUUUUCGUAAGUUUUUCGGGUAUUUGCUUCCUUUCCUUGUAAAAAGAAAUCUUCUUUCUUUGCUAACUUUUUAUUUUCUUUAUUCCAGCCACUCACUAGGAGCUCCAGCGGUUCAAGAUUUGGACCGAUGGGUACAAAAAAUUCUGAAUAUCACUAUACCAGAAUUCUAAAGGUGAAAGGGAAUGACUCCCAAAUACGGGUGGAAAUCCAAAAAUCAUGAUAAAUAAAACUCUUCUUCCUUUAUUUCAACCGUUUAAUACAUUCUGCAAACAAUUUAACUACCUUAUAUUGCCAAACAGGACUUCCGAACGGAUCCAUUGUGUGCCCCGACAUCGAAGCUCUUGAUGACCCAAUGGAAGCUCAACGAGUAUUUUAGAGUGCCCUUAACCAGAGGAGGGCUCGUGAAUGUACUCGUGCCUCUACUAAAGGUGCCUCCUCCCGAAGUCUCUAGUCAAAAAAUAAGCAACCAAAAAGGAAACGUAUCUCCACGGUUGGGACUCAGGAGAAGAGAAUAAUAAAACACCAACCGGACCAACCACAAUGGUCCUUGAUGAUGAAGAAGAGGUUGAUGGUGAAGAGGCCCCCUUUCAAAAAAGAAAAAGAUCUUCAUCAAUUCAACCGGAUGCUUAGCCGGGGGAGUUUCAAACUCUACCUCCAAAGGAAGUUCAAGAACUCUGGGAGGGGGAGGGGGUGAAAUAGCAAUAUCCGAAAAUGCUACAUCUCAUUUUUGGAUUCCCACAAUUGCUUCUGCUUAAAGGAUUUGAAUUCCUGACCUUCCUCCAUUGUCAACUUUUGAGCCGAUAAUAGCUUCUUCUCCAUCCACACCAACUACUUCUUCUCCACUGACCCCAGCUGAACAAGUAGGGAAUGCCCCUUCUCCACAGUCUCCCAACCAAGAAAAUUUGAGAAAUACUUAUUUGGUACCCACUCAAGACCCUCAUGGAAAACAAAGUGCCAUUCUUUCGAUUUCGAAGGAGUGCCAUAUACUUUCCAAGACGGUGGAUCUCGCCAAUUACCUGAAGUCGUUGGGCUCAGAGAAAGAUUGGAGAAAGUAGGACACUCUUUUUGUGAAGUGUCUGAUAAACAAUAACAUGCAUUGUUCGGUGCAGGUAGCAAUCUAACUUCCUCCUAUCUUCUUUUAAUUUGCACUUCGCAUUAAUUACUUUAGGUCUAACCUUUUUCAUGUCAACCUUAUUGCUUCCAAGGGCCUGCAAAGGUUGAUUUUGGACAAGCAAGAGAUUUCUUCAGAACGAGAUCAACUUUUGGUUGAAGGAAUUAGCUUACCGGGCGCCUCUCAGUGCUGGAGGCAAAAAUUGCUCAAAUAGAUGACCUCAAGGCCCGAUUCCAGCAGUCCAAACAAGAUAGAGUGGCUCACAGCUUGGAAUCCGCCCAGCUACAUGAAAACCUUACAGACCCAAAGCCUAAAUGUGUUGAACUUCAUGAUAUUGUGACUGUUGCUGCCGAGCGCGAGUCUGUCUUUAUGGAACAAGUUAAUAACUUAGAGGCUAUCUUACGCUCCAAAAUUGAGGAGGCCAAUGCUGCCAAGGAGAAUAGGGCGAGAAUGGAGGAAAGAUUCAAAAGGACCAUGGAGCAGAAUCAACUCCAUUCAUUAACCUAUGUCGAGCUGGACUCCAAAAUCAACAUUAUUAAAGCUGAAAAUGAAAAUCUCUAAUCCAAGAUUGAAAAAUUCCGAGCUAAACUCUAAGACCAAGAGGAUCCACUCGUCUUCGAGAAAACCUACACCAUUUAUUAUACGAAGAGGAAGACCUUGGAGGAUGCUAAAGAUGGAAUUUCUAACAUUGAUGAAUAUAGUGCUAAAGCACAGGAGCUGGAUACAACUACUCACAAGAAUCUCCCUACUCGGCCCAUUACAUCUGAUUCUUUGAAUACUAACUCCGAGUAAUCGGGAACCGAGGGAGAGACUGAAAAAGAUGAAGGCCUCUAAUCGGAAGUGGAACAACCUUCUCCUAAUAAAGAAAACGAAGGCUUUUCUCUCCCUUUGGGUUCUGGCAGCAAGAACUGAUGUAGUUUUCAUUACUUCUUGUAAUUGUGACAAAACUUUCCACUAGUUUGGCAAUUUAUUUAAUAAAAGAAACCAUUUACUUAAGUAUUGUGCAAGAAAAUAUUCUUUUACAUUAACUGACAAAGUUUCAGGAAUCUUUUCACAUCCGAUAGCUUUUGAUUCCAGGCAUAAACACUUCCAGAAUCUACCUUUUACUAUGAGGGUUUCAUAAGAGAGGGCCCUCGUAUUUACGAUGACAAUGUCUCAUGUUCAUUCCGGCACAACCAUUUAAAGUUUUUGUUAACACUCAAAUGAUAAAAUAAAUUAACUUAUCAUUCAGGAAAGAAUAAUAUAAAAAUAAAAGGACUUUGAUUUAUUCCCUCUAUCUUUAAAAGUAUAUUUACAUAAACAUUCAUUUGCUUAAGUAAAUAAAGGUUCCAAUACAUGUGGCUAACUUGUACAACUUAUUUCUGUGAGGCUGAUCAUGUAGUCACCGGCCCUGAUAAGAUAUUGAUCCUGGUUCUACUGGUCCCUGUCUUUAUAACACUUUUACUGCUUUGAUAUGUAUUAUUCCCACCAAUGUUCAGAUUCUAAGUGUGAGAAUUAGAACACUGAGGUCUUGCAUUCGUCGAUGACAUAUCGUAGUAUCUUUACAUUAUUGCCUUAUUAAUAGAAAUAACUUGGGGAUGGUUAAAUAAUCUACUUCCAGAUGUUAACAAGCCAAAGAUUACUUAACCAUCCACAAGUUGUUUGCCUCACGAGUUGAUCUACAUAAAACUAUUUCUGGAAGUCCCUCAUUUGUCGACGACCCUUCCUUCAUAGUAUGCUUUAUAUUGUUGCCUCAUUAAAAACCUUGCUAGAAAAAUAUAAUUGGGAUAAAAACUGGUCGAAGAGAAAAGGAGUGUAGAGCAUACUUUUAGUACCAGCAAGGAUCUUUAGCAAUAUUACCUUUUGAGGUGGGUCAUAUUCCAAUUGCUUGGCAAUUUGACUCCAUCUUGAUCUUCCAAUUCAUACGAACAUUUACCAGUUAUAGCUGAAAUCUGAUAAGUUCUUUCCCAUGUUGGUCCCAGCUUCCCAACAUUAACGUUUCAAGUACUUUGAGUGACUUUUCUUAGGACCAAAUCCCCAACUUUGAAAUAUCAUAGAUUCUCUCUGCGGUUAAAAUACAUUUGCAUCAUUUGCUUUUGUGCCAUUAUCCUUACAUACGCCAGAUCCCCAUGCUCUUCAAGCAAAUCUAAUUUAUCCAGCAAUGAUUCAUUGUUUGCUUUUUCUUUUGCUCGGAAAAACCCUAUGUUCAGUUCCCCCACUUCCAUCGGUAUCAAAGACUUUUAAUUGUAUACAAGUGAAAAGGGUGUUUUAUACGUGCUCGACUUUGUCGUGGUCUGGUAUGCCCAUAACAUACCCGGUAGCUCAUCUGGAAACUUGACUUUAGCAUCUUCUAACUUCUUUUAAGGUUUGAAUAAUUACCUUGUUAGUCGACUCCACCUGUCCAUUAGCACUCGAGUGGUAUGGUAAAGAUGUAACUCGUUUGAUCUUCAAUCCUUCCAAAAACUUUGUCAGUUUGGAAACUAUGAAUUGUGGUCCAUUGUCACAAGUUAUUUCUAUUGGUUUUCCGAAUUGGUAAAUUAUGGUCCUAUAUAAAAUUGACCAUCUCUCAUUAUUCGAUCUUUUGGUAAGCACAUGCUUCAACUUAUUUAGUAAAAUAAUAAUUUAAAACCAAAAGAAAUUUUACCUUACCAGGUUCUAGUGGCAAGGGACCCACUAUGUCCAUCCCCCAUUUCAUAAAUGGCCACGGUGACACCACCGAAUGCAAAAGUUCUACAUAUCAAUGCACUAACUGUGCAUGACGCUGACAUUUAUCACACUUUUGUAGAAUUAUCUUUGCAUCUUGCUACAUCCGGGGUCAAUAGUAGCCAGCUCUGACUAACUUGAGAAUUAAUUAGUCUACACCAGAAUGGUUCCGGAAUACUCCUUCAUGAACUUCCAUCAUCACAUAGUCAGCCUCCGAGGCCCCUAGACACAAAUCUAGUGCCCCUUGGAACGAUCUCAUGUAUAACUGUCAAUCAAAAAGAUAGUAACGAGUCACCUUGGUCCGUAGUGCCAAGGAUUCUUUUGGGUCUUCUAGAAAUUUGCCAUGUCUUAGAUAUUCAAUGAACUCGUUCCUCCGGUCCCAUAUUAAGUUGGUUGAAUUAAUUUCACAGUAGCUGUCCACGCCCAACACCGAAUAUAGUAAUUGAACGAAUAUACCAGAAUCAGAUCCUUCCAUCUCUGUGGAUGAACCCAAAUUGGCCAAUGCGUCUGCCUUCAAAUUUUCCUCCCUUGGAAUGUGGACGAUUGACCACUCUGUGAAUCGUGUAAGUAAUGGUUGAACCUUGUUCAAGUUCUGUUGCAUGCGCUACUCCUUGGUGUCGAAAAUUCUAUACACUUGGUUUACCACCAACUGGAAUCGCAUUUUAUCUCGAUGACCUUGGAACCUAGUCCCCGAGCUAGUUCAAGUUCUGCAACCAAAGCCUCGUACUCGGCUUUAUUGUUAGUUAAUGGUAAAAUUCUAUUGGCCUUCCUUAGGGUUUCCCCCAAAUGAGUGAUUAAAAUUACACCAAAACCGGACCCUUUUACGUUGGAGGCUCCAUUUGUAAACAAGAUCAGACUCUCUAUACCAUUCCCGAUACCAACAAUGCUUCUUUAGCAGUAAAGGCAUUAAUUCCGAACUGAAAUCAGUCACGAAGUCGGCCUAAACUUGUUACUUAAUUGCAGUCUUGGGCUUGUAUUCAAUAUAGAAUUCACUAACUUCGACCACCUACUUAGCCAAAUGACCUGACAACUCAGGCUUAUGAAGGACAUUCCUUAACGAAAAGGUUGUCACAAUGGCUAUUAGAUGACAUUAAAAAUAUGGUCUAAGCUUCUAAGAGGCAACUACGAGAGCUAAGGCCAGCUUUUCAAGGUGCGGAUAACGUGUAUCCGCUCCUGAUAAUAUUUUACUAAUAUAAUAAAUGGGAAAUUGCAUACCAUCUUCUUCCCGGACCAAAACGGCACUUACCACUACUUUUGAGACCGCUAGAUAAAUCAAUAGUUGCUCACCUUCUCCUAAUUUCUACAACAACGGAGGGCUAGAUAGGUACCUUUUUAGGUCUUUAAGUGCAUAUUGGUAUUCCGGAGUCCAUACGAUGUCAUUCUUUUUUUUCAAAAGCAAAAAAAAAAUGAUGGAACUUUUACGAAGACCUCGAGAUGAACCUUCUUAGAGAUACCAAUCUACCGGUCAACAUCUUUAUUCCUUCACGCCUGUCAGCUGGUCUGGGAUAUUCUCGAUGGAUUUGAUUUUAUUGGGGUUUACCUUAAUUCCUCUUUGAGAGACCAAAAACCCCAGGAACUUAUCGGAACCCACUCCGAAGGCAUAUUUCUUCAGGUUGAGAUUCAUGUUGUACUUUUUCAGAAUGUCAAACGUCCCUUAGAGAUGUUCCAGUUGAUCUCCUGCAUAAAGAGACUUAACUAGCAUGUCGUCGAUAUAAGCUUCCAUCGUCUUACCUAUCUAUUUUUUAAAUAUCUUAUUAGCGAGCCUCUAAUAAGUGGCUCCCGUAUUUUUAAUCCCACAAGGCAUCACAUUAUAGCAAUAUGUGGUAAAGUUUGUGAUGAAAGAAUUCUUCUUUUAAUUUUCUGGGUCCAUCGUAAUUUGAUAAUACCCGAAAUAAGCAUCAAGAAAACUCAUCAACUCGUGCCUGGCUGCAGCAUUGAUCAUUUGAUCAAUGUUCGGCAAUAGGAAAAAGUCUUUGGGGCACACUUUAUUUAAAUUCUUAUCAUCUACACACAUCCUAAAUUUUCUAUUCUUUUUAGGCACUACUACGUUAGCUAUCCACUUCGAGUACUUUACCUCUCGAAUUGAACUGAUGUUAAGUAAUCGGGUUACCUCUUCCUUAACAAACCUGUUUUUGACCUUUGCUAUCAAUUGUUUCUUCUGCCUUACCGGGGGGAAGUUUGGAUCCAGACUAAGUUUGGAGACCUCCAAAUCCAAUGGAAAAUUUGUCAUAUCUGAAUGCAACCAUGAAAAGCAAUCAACGUUAGAUUUAAAAAAAUCUAUAAGUUUCAACCUGAGUUCGGGACUCAACCCCGUUCCUAAAUGAAAUUUUCUUUCCAGAAAUUCUUCAAACAAAGCCACUUGUUUGAGCUCUUCUGCGGUUAACUUGGUUGCAUCCAUCUUUUCUGGUACCUGAAAAGACCUUGGUGCCUGAUAUAAUUCUGAUGACUUCUCGUUUUUAUCAUCUACAAUUGGGAUGGGAGAAGGCAUUGGUUCCUGUAGUUGCUAUUUGCUGGUUUCUUUGCCCUUGCUGCUGGAAAUGGUUACUGUGUUCAUCUCCCUUACAGCAGAUUGAUCUCCUCUGAUCUGCUUGAUCCCUUCUAGUGUUGGAAACUUUAACAGUUAAUGGUAUGUGAAGGUACGACCUUCAUUUUGAUGUAUCCACGGUCUUCCAAAGAUUAUAUUAUAGACCAUGUCGCCAUUUACCACUUCAAACAGGGUGGUCUUUGCUACACCUUCAGCAUGUGUGGGCAGAAAAAUUUCUCCUCGGGUUGUUAUACUUGUUAUGUUGAAGCCAGCUAAAAGCUUUGUUGAUGGAAUGAUAUUCCCAGUUAACUUUGCUUCUCUCCAUUGUAUGAUAUUGGUUGAACUUCCUGGAUCAACCAAAAUACGCUUAAUACUAAAAUCUAAAAUAUUAAAAGAAAUUACCAAAGCAUCAUUUUGCGGUAGGAUAAGUCCAUCGGCAUCUUCCAUCGUGAAGGUGAUGUCAUCUUUUGAGACUUCUCGGAUCCUCUUGCCAUGAGUCACUGAUAUAUUCGUCUUAUUUGCUGGCAAAAAUGUCACCCCAUUUACUUUGUCUCCUCUGAAGAUCAUGUUGAUUGUCAUUCGAGGUGACCCUUCUGCUGGUUUUAAUGGUUAUGUAAUAUCCCUAUUUCUCUUAGAGUUGUUUUUGGUGCGAUCGCUUAACAAUUCCCCGAGGUGACCAUUCUUUAACAAUAUUUCCACCUCUUCAUGAAGAUGUCGGCAGUCCCCAGUCCUAUUAUCGUGAGUCCCAUAGAAUUCACACCAUAGAUUAGGAUCCCUUUGGCUAGGAUCCGAUCAGAUCGAUUUUGGGAACCUAAAUUCUUUAAUAUUUCUCAUGGGCGACACUAGUUCCACUAGGGUGAUACUAAAAUUGUAAUUAAACAACCGGGGAUACGCUGAAUCUUAGGAUCAUGGCACCUUUUUCUCCUACAACAAUCUGUUACUCCGGCCAUGAUCCAUCCUUCUAUCGCAAAUAAACCUAUUCGAUGACUGGAAUCCUUUAUUAUCGUGCCCUUCGGCCUUCUCAUAAGGCUGAAAAUGACUUCUAGAGUGUAUUCGAUCUAUAUCAAAAUCAUUUUUAAACUUAUCUUGAUUUCAAUCACGAUUCCGUCCUUUGGAAGACACCGUGGAACCAAGUCGACCAUCUUCACUUCUGAUCUUUGACUCAUAGAGAUAUUAAACAUCUGCCCAUAUGGUUGCCUGAAUUUCGAGCAAGCUCUCCUGCAAUUUUUGUGAGUUAUCGGAGCUUAAUAGGUUGAGACCCUUUGUAAAUGCCUCCGUUGCCCACUCAUCUUGAACCGCAGAUAACAACAUCAUUUCUUUCCGGAACCAGAUCACAAACUCUCUUAACAAUUUAGCUUUUCUUUAAGAUAUCAUGAAUAUAUCCACCUUCCUUGCUUGGACCUUUCUUGCUCCAGCAUUAUCUUUGAUAAACGAAUCUACAAGCAUUUCAAAAGGGUCAAUAGAAUGUUUUGAUAAGAGGGAAUACCAGGCUAAGUCACCAUUCGUAAGGGUUUCACCAAACUUCUUCAACAAAACCGAUUCGAUGUAAUGCUGGGCCAAGUUGUUUUCCUUUACUGUCGUAGUGUAGGUCAUAUCAUGAUGUGCUCCUGUGGAUCCGAAGUCACAUCAUAUUUUGGUAUAUCCAACAUCUUAAACCUCUUUGGGAUUAACUUCGAUGCAGCACAUAGUUUAAACAGCAACUACAUAUACUUCUUUAAAUCUGAUCCUUUUAACAUCGGCGGCACCCCCGUGAUAUGAUCCAUCAGAGCGAAAUUCCUUUGCAUUCUAAUCCAUUCAUUCAUUCAUUUCUCUCAUUAAUCUUAUGAGCUCGGUUUUGAAAGGGUUAUUUAAAUUGUUGUUCGCAAAUUCACUACCGGUACCUCUGGCCUCGUCGAAAUUGACCUCCUCUCUUGGUGUGUCGUUAUCAGUUCCUUGAGUCGUUUGCUUUACGAGAAUGCUGGGAGGAAUCGGGGCCCUUCCAUUAGCAUUAUUAGAAGCUCCCCAUACUACAUGUUUCAAUUUUGUCAUCACCCAAUCUUGCCUUGAGAGGCGAUCCAUAAUUGCCUUUUUCUAUUCCCUCAAGAUUUUGACUAUUUCAACAACGUGCUCAUCCUUUGCAUCAUCAAGAGUUGGGCCCCGCACAUGUCGAGGAUACAGACCUUCGCGAACUAGGUUGUUUCAUCCCCUUCGUUGUGGGGCUCACUGAUUGAAUCAUCACGCGUGAACACAUCUUCUUGUUGACCGUGUACUCCAACAUUUUAAACAAUAUUGACAUCAUUAGCUGUCAUACCUUAUCUUUCUUUUUCUAAGGAAGGAAUCAAAAUUUGUCAGUAAUAGAUAAAUAGAUCAAAGCAAUUACACAAUUGUCAAUGCCCCACAGUGGACGCCAAACUGUUUACCCAUAAAAUGAUAUAGUUAGAUUUGUAACGUAGUUUAUAGACAAAUAAAUCGAUUUGGUCCUAAAGUACGAAAACAAUAAUAACCGAAACAAGAAUACGAAAUAAAACUAAUGGAAACACAAGCCCGAGUAUGAAUUUAGCCUUUCCAAUGGCAAAAAGAGAACAUUAUUCAAGAACAAAGACUGAGAACAAUAUUAUAAAAUGGGAGCAGAAUAUAGCUUUUUUGUGUACAAAAUAUUUCCACCCCUACAAUGGAUGCUAAUCCUCCUACUUACAGCUCUGUUCUGGGAGACAAGAUCCUCAAAUCAAGUUCCUCUUGAAUGAGAAUAAAACCGUCAUUGAUGGCUGCAUAAUUGUUGGCUAUAAAUGCAUAUAUUCUUUGUAACAGUUGCUCGUUGAAUGUUAUCUAAUGAAAAUGCUUUGAAUCUUCAUUAUUAAUUGGCUACUCCGUCUUCGAGAUUCAUUCAGUAUCGAUUGCAUGAUUACAUCUGGUGCCAGCUGUUUGCUGACUCACGUCCCAUCUAUCUUUUGUUCCAUGCGUCACUUCGUCAUUCGCCCAACUAUCAUUAACCGAUUUUGCCCCAUACAGGUGUAGCUUUGAUUAUCGACACACAAGUUGAGGCUGACUCCAGUAUAUUGAGGCCAAAGGCACAGACAUAUAUAGGACUAGGACUAAACCGUGUAUUUCCGAGAAAAACUUAUAUACAUACGAUACCUAAUUCAAAACAUAGGAAAAUGGUAAUUUGUUUAGUCUUUUUCCCGUUCUUUUCCCUUUUUGAAUGAUUUUAGAAGUUUAAUUGUAUUCUAAAGACUAAACAUCAAUCCUCCCACGAUACUUGAGUUUUGAAGGUUACGUGGGUGGCAUACAUAAGUUCGUUGCUCAUUCUUCAAUUGUCAUUAUCUUUUUUUGUUGUUUCUAUCGUCACUUCCUUUUCUUUGUUGCAUUAUAGUGUUUGAUCUAAUUCUUAAUGUUAGCUAGAAAAAAUGGACAGCAAUGAGGUGUUAUAUAUAUNNNNNNNNNNNNNNNNNNNNNNNNUAUAUUAGUUAGUUAAAGCGGUUAAUGAAAAAAAAAGUUUGAUAUCACUAAACAACUCAAUAAAUGAAUAUGCAUGCGAGUCAUCUAUCAUAUCCGUAUAACAAUUAAGCAUUGGUUGAUUUUCGCCACUUGGAAUUAAAAAUUUACGUAACAAACUUCCUUCAUGCAAAGAGGUGUGAACAUUGGAUUAGAACUCGUACACACUGGACAAACAAAUUAGUCCCCACAUCAACUAACUCAAGUUCCAAACUCAUAGGCUAGCUAGUUAUAACCAACACUUAUAAAUACCACUCAAUAUUAACAAGAGAAAACAUCCCAACAGCACCCAAGUAUCUUGUACUACUACUUUUUCAAAACUCAUCUGCCAUCACUUUUAUUACCAAAAUGGCUGAAGAGAAGAAGCACCACUUCGGUCUCUUCCACCACAAGGACAAGGAGGAAGACAAAACUACCUAUGGAGAAACUCCAUAUGGUGGUGAUACUGAAAAAACUACCUAUGGAGAGAAUACAUAUGAAGAGAAAACUAGUUAUGGUGGGGGAGAUAACUAUGGGGAUAACAAAUAUGGUGAGAAAACUGGCUAUGGAGAAAGUGGAUAUGGAGAGAAAACUAGUUAUGGUGAGGGAGGUAACUAUGGAGAUAGUGGCUAUGAAAAUAAGACUAGCUAUGGAGAUAGUGGCUAUGAAAAUAAGACUAGUUAUGGAGAUAGCGGCUAUGAAAACAAGACUGGCUAUGGAGAUAUUCCAUCUGAUACUACCUAUGGAGAGAAAACUAAUUAUGGUGAAGGAGAUACCUAUGGAAAAGGAGCUGCCUACUCAUCUGAGACCACUAAUUUUGAAGAGACUACUGAUGAAGGCAAAACUGGUGAGGAUUAUGAGAAAGAGAAAAAGCACCACAAGCAUCUUGAACACGUGGGAGGGCUUGGGGCUGCUGCUGCUGGUGCCUUUGCCUUGGUAAUUUUUCACACAAUGUUUUAUGUUACAGUUUUAACUUUUAUAUCCUUGUGGUCCAGUCCUUCCCCGGACCCCGCGCAUAACGGAAACUCAGUGCAUCGGACUGCCUUUAUUGUCGUAUCAGUAAAGUUACAAAAUUAUGUUAAUUAAAGUCAUUGAACUUUACCUAUUGUAUCAGCUAAGUCACAAAAUUAUUUGUUGUCUCAUAAAAGUCAUUGACAAUUUGUUAGUUGUCUAGAAAAUACAAUUCACUAGAAAGUCAAAUUUUUUAAUAAAAAUUGAUAUUAGUAGCCAAGAGAAUAAGAGAAACUACUACUCUUUCCGUCUCACUUCAUGUGAAGGUGUUUGACUGGACAUGAAAUUUAAGAAAUAAAGAAAAAAAUUUGAAACUUGUGGUUUAAAAUAAUUUAUAGAAAUUUAUUUGGCUAAAAAUUAUCUCAUUAAGGGUAAAAGAAAAAAUUUAAAAUUAAGUUGUUACUAAAUAUAGAAAUGUGUCAUUUUUUUAUGAGUGAGUAAGAAGAAAAGAGUGUCACAUCAAAUUGAUUAAAAUAGACUCAUAGUCAAAUAUUAUGGGUCAAUUUGAAGAAAAUUUUGAUUUUUACUCUAGAUAUUGUAAAAAGAAUUUACACUAUCAAUCAUUCAUCUAGAAAGAUUAAUAGAGUUGUUAACUAUUCCUUUUUGUUUCUUCCAUAUUUUGGUAUGAAAAUUUCAGCAUGAGAAGCACAAGGCAGAGAAAGAUCCAGAACAUGCACACAAACACAAGAUAGAAGAAGAAAUAGCAGCAGCAGCUGCAGUUGGGGCAGGUGGAUUUGCAUUUCAUGAGCACCAUGAAAAGAAGGAAGCCAAGGAAGAAGAAGGGGAAGUUGAGGGAGAGAAGAAACAUCAUUUCUUCUAAUUUUCUCAUAAUAUAUAUUUACCUCUCUUUAAUUUGUUUUCUUCUAAAAUAUAAGUUAUGAGCUUCGUGUGCUUGCUCUAUCCUCUAAUACUGAGCACCUAAAUAAUCCGUGUGUGUGUGUGAGUCUUCCCUUUGAUGUAAGGGUUUUACUUCUAUAUCUUGGUGGGGUUUAAUUAUGUCAUGCACAUGUUGUUCACUGUGCAAGUGUGAAUAAUACUAUACCUUUUAAUGCAAUAUUUUUGUCUUAAUAAUAUGAUACAGAAAAAAGACUCAUGUCUUUACUCUUUCCUUUGGGGCAAAUAAAAAGCGCUUUUCUCUUGUGCCAAUUAUCCCGUUAAAAUAUGUGAGUUUAACUUCAGAAAUGAAUUAUCAAAUAACAGAAGGAUAAUUUGCUAAAGAUAACACAAGCAACUUAAAAUAGGUCAUCAAUAUAUAUAUAUAUAUAUAUAUAUAUAUACACACACUACUNNNNNNNNNNNNNNNNNNNNNNNNNNNNNNNNNNNNNNNNNNNNNNNNNNNNNNNNNNNNNNNNNNNNNNNNNNNNNNNNNNNNNNNNNNNNNNNNNNNNNNNNNNNNNNNNNNNNNNNNNNNNNNNNNNNNNNNNNNNNNNNNNNNNNNNNNNNNNNNNNNNNNNNNNNNNNNNNNNNNNNNNNNNNNNNNNNNNNNNNNNNNNNNNNNNNNNNNNNNNNNNNNNNNNNNNNNNNNNNNNNNNNNNNNNNNNNNNNNNNNNNNNNNNNNNNNNNNNNNNNNNNNNNNNNNNNNNNNNNNNNNNNNNNNNNNNNNNNNNNNNNNNNNNNNNNNNNNNNNNNNNNNNNNNNNNNNNNNNNNNNNNNNNNNNNNNNNNNNNNNNNNNNNNNNNNNNNNNNNNNNNNNNNNNNNNNNNNNNNNNNNNNNNNNNNNNNNNNNNNNNNNNNNNNNNNNNNNNNNNNNNNNNNNNNNNNNNNNNNNNNNNNNNNNNNNNNNNNNNNNNNNNNNNNNNNNNNNNNNNNNNNNNNNNNNNNNNNNNNNNNNNNNNNNNNNNNNNNNNNNNNNNNNNNNNNNNNNNNNNNNNNNNNNNNNNNNNNNNNNNNNNNNNNNNNNNNNNNNNNNNNNNNNNNNNNNNNNNNNNNNNNNNNNNNNNNNNNNNNNNNNNNNNNNNNNNNNNNNNNNNNNNNNNNNNNNNNNNNNNNNNNNNNNNNNNNNNNNNNNNNNNNNNNNNNNNNNNNNNNNNNNNNNNNNNNNNNNNNNNNNNNNNNNNNNNNNNNNNNNNNNNNNNNNNNNNNNNNNNNNNNNNNNNNNNNNNNNNNNNNNNNNNNNNNNNNNNNNNNNNNNNNNNNNNNNNNNNNNNNNNNNNNNNNNNNNNNNNNNNNNNNNNNNNNNNNNNNNNNNNNNNNNNNNNNNNNNNNNNNNNNNNNNNNNNNNNNNNNNNNNNNNNNNNNNNNNNNNNNNNNNNNNNNNNNNNNNNNNNNNNNNNNNNNNNNNNNNNNNNNNNNNNNNNNNNNNNNNNNNNNNNNNNNNNNNNNNNNNNNNNNNNNNNNNNNNNNNNNNNNNNNNNNNNNNNNNNNNNNNNNNNNNNNNNNNNNNNNNNNNNNNNNNNNNNNNNNNNNNNNNNNNNNNNNNNNNNNNNNNNNNNNNNNNNNNNNNNNNNNNNNNNNNNNNNNNNNNNNNNNNNNNNNNNNNNNNNNNNNNNNNNNNNNNNNNNNNNNNNNNNNNNNNNNNNNNNNNNNNNNNNNNNNNNNNNNNNNNNNNNNNNNNNNNNNNNNNNNNNNNNNNNNNNNNNNNNNNNNNNNGUACUGAACACCUUAUAUACAGAACAGAUUUUGGUUGAAUCUAAAAGUGCAUCCUCUAACCUUCAAAUCUUGAAUCCGUAUGACUUGAGCACAACUAAUAAUUAUGGUCCUACUACAACUAUUCAUAGAAGUCAGUAAUUUAGAAAAAACUUAUAGUCGUGUGUCAAUAAUUAAUGUUUACAAAAUGCGCUACUCCUUGUUCUCUUAACCAAGGAGGUUUCGUUAUUAUAGAGUUUGAAUUUGAAGAGUACACCAUUGUUAAUGACUUUUGAUAAAUGACUAAAAAUGCACAAUUUUGAGUAUAGUUUCAUAUCAUUUUGUGUGAGAAUAGGGAGAUCAAAUGCUUACAAACGUGAAUAUGUUCAUUACGUGUUUAUUGUGUGUAUGAAUGAAUUUGGAUAGAAGUUGGCAAGAAUUAAUUAGAUUAUUUGAUGCAAAAAGAAGUAGAGAUGCAAGAAGUGGGAGCGUGCCACAAUUGGUGCAUUGCAUGAAAGAUAUGUGCGAAAUGACCUAAGAAUUGAAUCAAAACCAGUGUACGACAUUUUGGCACCAUCCCCCAGUACGCGAAAGAAACAAAGAAGAAAAAAAAGUUAGGAGCGUGCCUAGGGGUAACGCGUUGCACCAACCCCCAGGACCCGACUCAACCUUUUCUUUUCGAAUUAAGAGAGAUCAAGGACACCCCACAUCAACCGUAUUCGGUUUAAAUACAAUUUGAAGCCGUUUUUGAAGGGCCACACAAUAUUUUGGGAGGCAAGAACACGCAAGAGCAAGGCGGAGAAUUCUUCUACGAGUUUUUCACUUUCUACUUCAUAUUUCUAUUGUUGGUUAUGACUUUUUAUAUUGUAAUCUUAUAUAAUAUUAUGAGUAGCUAAACCCGUCAUCUAAGGCUUGAUUGAACCAAUUGUUUGAUGAAUUCUUAACUGCGUAUUGGUAUAAUUGAGCCAUUUUACUCUCUAAUUAUUAAAUUAUAUGCUUCUUGUUGUUAAUUGAAGGGCCACUAGUUAAAUGUGUCUAGUUAUCUUGUGUUACUUGAGAGAGAACACUUGAUUAGAUUGUUGUUGAACAACGCCACUUUCGAGUAAGUUAAGAGAUUAAUUACUAAGAUUUAAAAGUGAGAUUAAAGAUAAUGAAGAUUUGGUGUGAUCAUUAUGAGCUGUACGAAUUAUCAACUAGAGUAGUUCGAGAAAACACUUCUAUUAAAUUAUAACUAACGUGUUAGGAACUAAUCCGACAAUUGGGAAAAUCAUAAACCCUAGACCUUUUUAUCUUUGAUUUAAUCUUAUUCUCGCUUGUUUAUAAUUUUUAUUGCCAUUUUUUCUUAGUUAAGUAAAUUUUGUUAAUCAUAAAUCAAGUCUUGAACUCUAAAAGUUGACUGAGCAUAUUAUUAGUGAUACUGAAAAGUUAUAGCAAAUAGAUUAGUUCUCUGUAGGAUUCGACUCCGGACUCUUGAACCAGAUUAUUUUUAAGCGACCGCUUAGUCUUUUUUAUAAGGCAUAGUUGGGCGUGAUUAAAUAUUAGCAUCGUUGAUGGGGAACUAAUGGUGUUAUUCAUUACAACUUGAAACAAUUGCUAGUAUUUUUAGUUUAGAUCAAUUUUUCGUGGUGCUAAAAAUAUUUCUAUUGAAAUUAUCACGUUUGAAUUAUUUUAUGCCUAAGGUGCAUGCCUAGAUGCUCCUUGAGAACUUGUGAACUAUUUGAAGGUCUCUCAGAUCCGAGAAAGCAUCAAGGACAUUGAAUCAAGCUAACAAGAAGGGCAAAGAAAAACUAAAACAAAACGAACAAAUCAAAAUAGAAACGAUUGACAUCAAGAAAUACAACAGGAACAAUAGAAAUAACAAAGUUGACCCAAACAUCAGAGUGGUAGCACCCCUUGUGCCGGAGGCUAAUCUAUAUGAUUGGGCGCAACCAACCGCUGAUAAUUUGGUAAAUGCAAUUGCAAUACCUCAGAUACAGGCAAAAACUUUUCAAAUUACAAACAACAUGCUGCAUUUGCUACAGAACAAGAGGUUGUUCUCCGGGUCUUACAUCGAAGACCCACAACAACAUCUGAAGAAUUUUCUAUUAAUUUGUGUCACCCAUAGACAACCGAAUGUGACACCCGAAGCAAUUAGAUUGUUACUAUUUCCAUUCUCAGUGAUUGGGGAGGCUCACACAUGGCUAAAUCACUCCCAACAAACUCCAUUGCUACUUAGGAUGAACUAGUCAAGCAGUUAUUAAACAAAUUUUAUCCAGCAAAUAAGACUGCAAAGCAAAUUGAUGAGAUAUUGCAGUUCAGGCAACAACCAACUGAAACUUUGAAAGAAACCUGGGAAAGGUUCAAGGGUAUAUUGGUGAAGUGUCCCCACCAUGGCAUCCCGGAUCAGAUGCUAGGAUAGAAAUUCUAUAUGUGUUUUGCUGACCGUCUAAAGGCUAAUUUAGAUGUUUCAGUCGAGAGUAUAUUGUUGAGAAAAUCAUUCAGAGAGUGUAAUUUUCUUCUUGACAAGAUGGCUCAAAAUUCAGGCUGGAUGAUGGGAGAUACAACAGUUACUACAAUAGUGCAUUCUCUUGCUCUUAACCCAAAUAAUACAAAUGCAAAAAACACAGCCACUCUAAUGACAUAUGAGUUUGUUGACAAAGAAAAUUGACGAGACGGGCACAAAACAGGUUCACAUUGUUGACACAAAAAUGGAGGCCUAUGCACUCCUUGCAUCUGUCAGCCGUAUGUUUGCUCAUGGAGUACAGAAACUAAUAACCAGGGAUUCAAAGAAUACAUGAAUUACAUAAAUAAUUUUGGGGAUCAAAGACAAGGUGGACAACAAUGGGGACAUCAGAAUCAGUAGUACAGCCAUCCCAGCCCAGCAACAAUACAAUAACAAUCCUAGGGGAGCAUGACCACAUGUCCAAGUUGUGCCUAUCAAAGGCAACCUGGUUACAAUCAACAACACCAACAAAAUUUUGCUUACCAAUAACCUCAUCAGCAGCAGAUGACCACACAAGAAGACAACAAUAUGAUAGAAAUCAAGGGCAUGCUGCAACAACUCAUUGAGACUAAUGGAAAGAAGCAAGAAAAGUUAGCCGUACAUGAAUCGGCUAUUAAAUGCAUUGAAACUUAGUUAGUCCAGUUGUCCAUGGAUUUGAACAAUCUCCUACAAAGAACAUUGCCCGUCGAUACAAACAUCAAUCCAAAAGAAUAGAACCUGAACCGACUAAUGGUAGUGAGUCUCAGGAAUGAAAGGUAUUUGGACAAAGAGCAAGAAUUUUCUCAAUCUAAUAGAGAAAGAACGCCACCUAUUCCAAUGCCACUCGAGGUAGAUGAAUUGAUAGAGCUCACAGAGGUUGUAAUUGAACAAGCACAAGUUGACAAGGGUAACGAGAAAGAAACUUAAUAAUUCUCGAAGAUGGUACUAAAAAGGACUUCUUAUCAGGAAAGAACAUAGAUCAGUGGACAAAAGCAACCUCCGACACUAUUCCCUCAAAGGUUGGCAAAGCAAAAAAAAGAUGAUCAAUACAUAAAAUCCAUGGAAAUGCUAAGUCAAAUUCAAUUGAAUAUUCCUCAGAUAGAAGUUUUGAGGGAAAUGUCAGGCUACGCUAAAAGGAUGAAAGAUUUGAUGUCUCGAAAGUUUGACUUCCAGGACAUGCCUAAUGUGACUCUGACUCAAACUUAUAGUGCGGUAGUGACAAGGCCUAUCGCUCAAAAGUUGUCUGAUCCCGGUAGUUUUACAAUCCCAUGCACAAUUAGAAGUUAUACUUUUGUUAUAGGAUUGUGUUACUUGGGGGCUAGUAUUAACUUGAUGCCUUUGGCAAUUUAAACAAAAUUAGGAAUUGGAAGAGCUAGACCAACCUUAAUGUUGUUGUAACUGGCUGAUCGCACAGUUAAAAGGCCAAUAUGAAUUAUGGAUGAUGUACUCGUUCAAGUAGGGAAGUUUGUAUUUCCUGCUGAUUUUGUUAUUCUUGACUGCUAGGUUGAUGAAAAAAAUAUCCAUAAUUUUUUUAAAGCCAUUCUUGGCUACUAGGAGAGCAUUGAUUAACUUUGAGACUGGAGAGCUAAAUAUGAGAUUGAAGGAUGAAGAAAUAAUAUUCAAUGUUCAACACUCUAUGAGGAGACCCAGCGAGUUUGCAAAUUGUUCGUGAGUAGAGACAAUUGAUGUGAUACUACAAGAGGAGUAAGAGACUCUCCAUGUUAGAGACCCAUUAGAAGCUUCCUUGAUGAAUUUAAAAGAAGUUGAUGGUGAAAAGUGGGCAGAAUGGGUUAUGGCUCUUGAAGGUCAAGGUUUUUGGAAAGGGAACCUUAAUUUGAGCCCUUACACUUAGAAGAAAAAAAAACCACCUACGAAGCU
rnacentral:lncRNA from 1 species